ACUCCUACGGGAGGCAGCAGUAGGGAAUCUUCCACAAUGGACGAAAGUCUGAUGGAGCAACGCCGCGUGAGUGAAGAAGGGUUUCGGCUCGUAAAACUCUGUUGUUAAAGAAGAACAUAUCUGAGAGUAACUGUUCAGGUAUUGACGGUAUUUAACCAGAAAGCCACGGCUAACUACGUGCCAGCAGCCGCGGUAAUACGUAGGUGGCAAGCGUUGUCCGGAUUUAUUGGGGCGUAAAGCGAGCGCAGGCGGUUUUUAAGUCUGAUGUGAAAGCCUUCGGCUCAACCGAAGAAGUGCAUCGGAAACUGGGAAACUUGAGUGCAGAAGAGGACAGUGGAACUCCAUGUGUAGCGGUGAAAUGCGUAGAUAUAUGGAAGAACACCAGUGGCGAAGGCGGCUGUCUGGUCUGUAACUGACGCUGAGGCUCGAAAGUAUGGGUAGCAAACAGGAUUAGAUACCCUGGUAGGAUAGCG
rnacentral:rRNA from 1 species